rnacentral:rRNA from 1 species
AUACGGAGGAUCCGAGCGUUAUCCGGAUUUAUUGGGUUUAAAGGGAGCGUAGGUGGAUUGUUAAGUCAGUUGUGAAAGUUUGCGGCUCAACCGUAAAAUUGCAGUUGAAACUGGCAGUCUUGAGUACAGUAGAGGUGGGCGGAAUCCGUGGUGUAGCGGUGAAAUGCUUAGAUAUCACGAAGAACUCCGAUUGCGAAGGCAGCUCACUAGAAUGUUACUGACACUGAUGCUCGAAAGUGUGGGUAUCAAACAGGAUUAGAUACCCUGGUAGUCCACACAGUAAACGAUGAAUACUCGCUGUUUGCGAUAUACAGUAAGCGGCCAAGCGAAAGCAUUAAGUAUUCCACCUGGGGAGUACGCCGGCAACGGUGAAACUCAAAUGAAUUGACGGGG